UAGGCAUUGAAUCAAGCUUGGCAGUUCUUGAAGCUAUUGGUUUCAAGCAGGAGCCUAAAGUGACAUCUUUCUAUGGUCUGGUGGCCAUUUCAGAACUUUAGAAACAUAAUGGUCAGUUCAUUAUAAAGAAAGGACU
ensembl:snoRNA small nucleolar RNA SNORA2/SNORA34 family